AGAGAGUGCUCAGCCACUGGAAUGGGCUGCCCAGGGAAGGGGUGGAUUCUCCAUUCCUGGAGGUGUUUAAGGUGAGACUGGAUGUGGCACCAGUGCCAUGGUUUGGGAACCACGGCAGGGUUGGAUCAACGGUUGGACUUGAUGAUCUAGGAGGUCUUUUCCAACACAGUUGAUUCUGUGAUUCUAUGAUUCUCAUUCUAAUGGCAGCA